CUGGCUGGUGGGAGGCGGCGACUGAGGAAGAUAAAGAUCCAGUUUCAGACAAGAGAGUUGUUGGGUGAUCAUUUCAUUGAGAUCAACCUGAAUGACCAGGUGUAAAGUGCAAGAGUAGUAUGCUAUGACUGAGAAACUAUGUUUCCGGUAGCCCCUAAACCUCAGGAUUCCAAUCAACCGUCAGAAAGACUCAUGACUGAAAAACAGAAGAAAGAAGCAGAAUGGGAAAGCAUAAAUGUGCUAUUGAUGAUGCAUGGCUUAAAACCUUUGUCUCUAGUCAAAAGAACAGAUCUCAAAGAUCUCAUCAUUUUUGACAAACAGACAUCACAAAGGAUGAGACAGAAUUUGAAAUUGUUGGUGGAAGAAACAUCACGUCAACAGAACAUGAUACAGGAGCUUAUAGAAACUAAUCAGCAGCUUAGAAAUGAACUUCAGCUAGAGCACAGCCGAGCAACCAAUCAAGAACAACGAGCUAAUGACUUGGAACAAAUUAUGGAGAGUGUGAAAUCCAAAAUUGGUGAAUUGGAGGAUGAAUCACUAAAUAGGGCUUGCCAGCAACAGAAUAAAAUAAAAGAUCUUCAAAAGGAGCAGAAAACUUUAUAGGUGAAGUGCCAGCAUUAUAAGAAAAAACGAACUGAGCAACAAGAAAGUAUUGCUUCUUUGCAAAUGGAAGUCUGUAGAUUAAGAAAGGAGGAAGAAGAUCGCAUUGUCACUCAAAACAGAGUGUUUGCCUAUCUGUGCAAAAGAGUUCCUCAUACCGUCUUGGAUAGACGGUAUGUAAUUUUGCUACAUAAAUUGAUAUGUAGCUAGAUUCAUGGUUUUGUUUGUUUGACCUGAUUUUAUCUUGGGGGUGGUUAUAACUCUUAUACACUAGAAAAGCCUCUCUCUCCUCCUCUUCUGCAUUGUUUUUCCGUGCUCAUCCUGUUUUUGUUUGUUUGUUUGUUUGUUUGUU